rnacentral:tRNA from 1 species
GUUUUUAUAGUGUAUAAAACAUAUGAUUUUUUCAAAAUCAAGUUAAACAAUAGUUUUAAAAACA